GCAUCGGCAGGCGGACUCCCAACCACUGCGCCACCGGGGAAGCCCGAGGAGAAAAGUCAUGGAGCUGAAAAGAAGAGAGAAAAUAACCUCCAAAGCCUGGUGAUUUUGCAUCACAGCAGUUGGUAACAAGUUGUGGAACCUGACUGUGAUUUUUUUGAAAAAAAUGACAAGUGGAAGUAAUAGUCAAGUGGAGAGGAACGUGUGUGUUCCUGACAACCACACCAGAUCAUGACACUGAUGGCGCCCCUCCCUGUGUCUCCCGUGGGCCACCAGUUGCAUGAAUCCAGCUUUUACAUGGCCCUCCUCUUUGUACACGCCGUGUUGAGAUGGAUGCCUCUUCUCCAGAACAAACUAACUGCUGACCUGUAUGCAGCUGGACUCUUCAGAGUUUAAACCCAGUUUAAACGGUUUCCUAAGCACGUUGCCUCCAGAUCUGGUUACCUGCUCCCGUGCUAUGGAAGCCCCGUGAGUGGUGUGGGGUUAGGGAUUUGAAUCCUGGUUCUACCAUUUCUUCUACCUGUGUGACUGGCUCUUGAUCUGUGCCCUGUAUGCCCAUGGAAAGGGAGACCAUUGUGUCUGAGGUGAUCAUGACAUAUUGACAGAAAGAAGAAUGGAGAAGACAAAUGUAGCCCCAUGAACUGUUGCAGUAAGGUUGGUCGUGUCUGGUUUGUCUUGUUCAGAAUAGUUGGAGACUCCAGCCCAGCAGCACGUGGGAGAGGCUGCAGCCUGACAGGACUGAGGUGGGAUGAGGCAAGGAGGAGGAGGGCUGAUUCCAAAGGAUACCACCACUCAUGAUUUGUUUGUUUGUUUCUGACCUUACUACAGGGAGGAUUUCAUGCCGUUUACCAUGGUGCACAAAAUUAAAACAAAGCAUGCUUAGUAUGACUGGGAGACAGAAUAGCAUGAUAAAUAAGAGAGUGCUUGGGUUGGUAUCUAGGCUCUGCUACCCCCUGGCUACAUGACCAUGGGAGAGUGACUUCAGCUCUGUGGGUCUCAGUGUCCUGAUCUUUUUUUUUUUUUUUUUGCAGUACGCGGGAC